AUGCUCACUUCAGCAGCACAUAUACUAAAGCCAGGAAAAUACAGAGAUUAGCACGGCCCCUGCACAAGGAUGACAUGCAGAUUUGUGAAGGAUUCCAUAUAUAA